AUUGCUGACAAUGGUGCAGUGGUGAUGCAAGGCAACAAGCAACACAGUGGCUGAAGCUGUGUAAUGAGUGUACAAGCAAAGGAGCAAUCCCAUAUAUAUAUAUAUAAAGGUCCCAGGAGAAGCAAAUGAAAUGCGGUGGCUAUUCAAAACGCAGGUCCGUGACUGUGCAAACUGUGCAAACGACCACCCGUGCCUGGAAAAGAAAAACCAAAAUGAGAGGUGAUGGGAUGGUGCAUUGGAAAAAUAUGAUUGUGUACAAAAAGAAAGUGCCAACUAAAAAAAAAAAAAAAAAAAAGUGCAAAGUGCUAGCUACCCUAAAUGGUGCAUUGGGAAAAUAUGAUUGUGUACAAAAAAGAAAGUGCCAAAAAAGUGCAAGGUGCCAACUACCCUAAAUGGUGCAUUGGGAAAAUACGAUUGUGUACAAAAAAGAAAGUGCCAAAAAAGUGCAAGGCGUUGGGAAAAUAUGAUUAUGUACAAAAAGAAAGUGCCAGCUACUAUUAAGUAAAAAAAUAAAAAAAUAAAAAAAUAAAAAAGGGUGAAAGAAUAGUGCAUUAGUCACCAUCUAAAAUGAAAUGGGUGUGUCAGGCACCAUAUAAAAAAAAUUUAAAAAAAUUAAAAAAUAAAAAAAAAAGAAAAGAGAAAAAAAAAGAAGAAGGAAGUAACGCAUUUAGUCAGAUAUACAUUUUAUUUGUAUUUAGCACAACAUACUGAAUAAAAUAAAGCAUGUCCAUUGAUAUCUAAAAUGCAUUAAGAGAAAUAAAGUCCAUUUUAUUUAUUUUUCUGGAAAUUUACAUAAAUUUGCAUUAUACAUACCUAAAAAAAAAAAAAAAAGUCAAAUCAAAUUUACAGGAAUGGAUCUUCAAGGAUGAUCAGGUGGCGCCUCAUCACUCGACGGAGCUCCAGAAAGACGAAGCACCAGAGAUUGAUUAU
rnacentral:lncRNA from 1 species